UGGGGAAUAUUGGGGCAAUGGGGGGAAACCCUGACCCAGCAACGCCGCGUGAAGGAAGAAGGCCUUCGGUUGUAAACUUCUUUUACCAGGGACGAAGGACGUGACGGUACCUGGAGAAAAAGCAACGGCUAACUACGUGCCAGCAGCCGCGGUAAUACGUAGGUUGCAAGCGUUGUCCGGAUUUACUGGGUGUAAAGGGCGUGUAGGCGGAGAUGCAAGUCGGGAGUGAAAUCCAUGGGCUUAACCCAUGAACUGCUUUCGAAACUGUAUCCCUUGAGUAUCGGAGAGGCAAAGCGGAAUUCCUAGUGUAGCGGUGAAAUGCGUAGAGAUUAGGAAGAACACCGGUGGCGAAGGCGACUUUCUGGACGACAACUGACGCUGAGGCGCGAAA
rnacentral:rRNA from 1 species